UCCCUGGUGGCUCAGACGGUAAAGCGUCUGCCUGCAAUGCGGGAGACCCAGGUUCGAUUCCUGGGUAGGGAA
rnacentral:tRNA from 1 species